rnacentral:rRNA from 1 species
UUAAAUUGAAGAGUUUGAUCAUGGCUCAGAUUGAACGCUGGCGGCAGGCCUAACACAUGCAAGUCGAACGGUAGCACAGAGAGCUUGCUCUCGGGU